rnacentral:rRNA from 1 species
ACUAACAGGAUUCUCUUAGUAACGGCGAGUGAACAGAGAUUAGCCCAACAUCGAAGCCUCUAUGCAUCUGUAUGGACGGCAAUGUGAUGUAAUGGUGUUCGACUUCACUGGCUGGCUAACUUGAAGUCCAUAUUUGACUGUGGCUUGUGCGUAUGCACCCAGAGAUGGUGAAAGGCCCGUUCAGGUUGGUAUUCAGACAUGGCAGCUUGUGUAGAUUCGUUCGCCAAUGAGUCGGAUUGCUUGAGAGUGCAGUCCAAAUGUGGUGGUAAACUCCAUCAAAGGCUAAAUACCUGUACGAGUCCGAUAGACAACAAGUACCGUGAGGGAAAGUUGAAAAGUACUCUGAAGAGAGAGUAAAUAGUACGUGAAACUACAUGGAGGUUAAACAGAUGGAGUCAAGCUGCGU